AUUGAACGCUGGCGGCAUGCCUUACACAUGCAAGUCGAACGGUAACGCGGGGCAACCUGGCGACGAGUGGCGAACGGGUGAGUAAUAUAUCGGAACGUGCCCAAUAGUGGGGGAUAGCCCGGCGAAAGCCGGAUUAAUACCGCAUACGACCUGAGGGUGAAAGCGGGGGAUCGCAAGACCUCGCGCUAUUGGAGCGGCCGAUAUCAGAUUAGCUAGUUGGCGGGGUAAAAGCCCACCAAGGCGACGAUCCGUAGCUGGUUUGAGAGAACGACCAGCCACACUGGGACUGAGACACGGCCCAGACUCCUACGGAGGCAGCAGUGGGGAAUUUUUGGACAAUGGGGGAAACCCUGAUCCAGCCAUGCCGCGUGUGUG
rnacentral:rRNA from 1 species